AUUGAACGCUGGCGGCAGGCCUAAUACAUGCAAGUCGAGCGAGCGGCGGACGGGUGCGUAAUGUAUGGGGACUGCCCGAUAGCGGGGGAUAACUACUGGAAAAGGUAGCUAAUCCCGCAUACUAUCCGAUAACCAAUAUGGGAUUAGCUAGUAGGUGAGUUAAUGGCUCACUUAGGCGACGAUCCCUAGCUGAUCUGAGCGGGUGAUCAGCCACACUGGGACUGAGACACGGCCCAGACUCCUACGGAGGCAGCAGUAGGGAAUAUUGCGCAAUGGGCGAAAGCCUGAGAGAGCCACGCCGCGUGAAUGAAGAAGGCCUUAGGGUUGUAAAGAACUUUCAUUCGGGAAGCGUUACCGACAGAGAAAGCACCGGCUAACUCCGUGCCAGCCGCCGCGGUAAUUC
rnacentral:rRNA from 1 species